AGGCACAGCCCUUCCCCAGCCAUGGUGAGAGGGCAGGGGAAAAGCCACAGUGAAACGAGGAGCUUGCUGCACAGAAAAUGGACAUUUUGACAGGCUCCCAUUUCAUAUUAGAAAUGUUUUGAUUUCGUUUCCUCUGCAGAACAUAAACAGAUUUUGAAACCUCAGAAGUUGCCAUGAGACAAAACCCGCUAUUUCCUGGCCAGCUCUAAUUGCGGCUUGUGACCAGCCCUUGCUAUUGAAGUCAGAAGUUACACGAGGGAGGAUCCUGGCUCAGCACAGAUUUGUGUGGAGAAAUGUGAUUUGUCACUAUCUCUUUAAGCAAAGUUAACUCUUCAGUGAAAGAUUUUUUUGUGUCUGAUUCUCUUUACCAGCAAAUACCCGCAGGAAGUGUCCUACAGGCAGCGUGACAAUAGGAAGGGGUGAUGUGGACAUGGCAUGUGAUGUGAGUAUGGCAGUGCCAUGCUUUUAUGCCCUGGAGUGCUGGGAUCUGAGUGCAGCCAUGGGGCAAUAUCCCUCGUGUCCCAGCACGGCCACCCCAAGGACUGAGCUGAGCCUGAAGCAACAUCAUCACCUUCCUCAUGUGGGAAGAGUUCUUCCUUCUCCUUGUCCUCUAAAUCCGCAGGCUGAGACUUUUUGAGUUGUCUUGGAGAUUUUAAUACCAGCAGAAGAGGAAAAAAAAUGAAAAAAAAUGAAAGAAAAAAAAAAAGAAGAAAUAAGCCACCCAAUUCCUGCACACAGCUUUGAAAAUACCAGCUUUGUAUUUUUGGGCAGCUUAUGAGCUCAGGAGUGCUGACAGAAGUGGCCAGAAUUAGGGAAGAGCAAGAAAAAUGAUGAAGUGCUUGGGCAGAGGGACUUGGCCAUGGUGGGAAGAGGCACUGAGGGUUGCAUGACUGCAUUAGAAGAGGAAAAUAUCCCAAGGGCAAGAGGGGUGCUGGACAGAGGUGGUUGGUGUUGAGGAAAAUAGAAGCCAACAGUGGCAGCACACGAGGAAACCUUUCCUCAGUCUGAACUCCAACCCAUUGUGAAACCUUCCCAGUGGGGAAAUGCUGGAAACCCCCGAGGUCAUGUCAACAACAGCGGGGCUGGCUGGAGCCGCAGGAGGCCCGGGAGGAAAUAGAGCUCUGGGGAGAGCUGGUGUACCUGGGCUCUUCUGAUUUAUCUGAUCCCAUCAAAGCAACCCCUCUGCAGGGCUCAGUGCAGGCAGGGACCUGACUGGCAGCCAGGUUUGGCAGAGCAGAGGCAGGAAAAGCCAAUUUUGCAACUUUCUGGUUGAGUUACCACAGGAGAGCACAGACCCAGUGCCUGCACAGGCACUAAAUGCACAGGCCAGUGCUUUUCUUUUGGAUCAGAGCUUCAUCUAAGAGAAAAUCCUAAUUUCACUGUCUGGUACCAAACAAGUUGAUAGCACUGCCAAGGAUUUAUAAAUAUAGGACUUCUUUCAAAAUAAUUAGUGCUGCUCUUGACCCGAAUUCAGGCUGUUAGGUUUUUCAUCCCCUCUCAUGACAAUUUCAUUUUAUCAUCCCCACCACUACACACAUUUUUCUGCGAUGACUAAUUUGGAAGAUGGUAAGCUCACUGCUAAAAAACAGCAUCAGAAAUGUGUGUUUAUCAGGAGCAAUGGGUGCCAAAGGCACAAAUCUUACAGCUGUGUGAGGGGAAGCGACAACAGUCAUAUGAAUACAGAAUUAUUUGCAUCCCAUCUUUGUCCUAGUGCCUCUGUAAAAGAAAAACAAUCCCUUUUUUUCCCUAAUGUCUAAGGAAUAACAUCAUAAACCAAAAAAUCCCUCCAAGUUACUGUUAAAUUUCCUUUGUGGUGUCUGUAGCAAUCCCUUAAAGGGUUAGCUCCGAGCACUUCUUAAUUUUGCAAGGACAACACAGGAAACAACUGCAACUGUGUUGGCAGACAAACUGGGAUAGUUUCAGCCUGGGAUUGAAGCAGGAGGGAGCAGAUUUCUCCUCCAAUGCUCAAACUCCUAAAACUGGGCAUGUGAGUCCUGGAAGCAGAAGGAUGGUGUGAUCAUGAUGCAUGGACACAGAGGAAUGUCAUGAAGCCAGACAGCACUGGACUGGCUCCAAAUGCUGCUCUCAGUUCCUUCCCCAAGUUAGCAGGCGAGUGGCCACAUCUCCAGCAGGAGGUCAGACUGACCUUGGAAAAUGCAGGCAAUGCAGCUCACCCGCUUUGUAAGCUGAGUCCAGCACCAGGAGCUGUAAGAUGAGGCGGCCCAGGCCAGAAACCUCAAUCCAUGACCUGACCUGGUCAGCCUGAGAGGACUAAACCUACACUUUAUCAUGAAACAGCAGAUCCUGUGUCCUUUUGUGGUCACCCCAGCCAAGGUCAAGCUGGCACAAGGGGUUUAAUUCUGAGACUGAGUGAAGAAUUUCUCUUUGUUGAGCUGACUGAGAGGCUGAAGAUGCUGGAAGGAGGAGAGCCAGGGCUGACACAGAGCAAGAAAACACUAAUGUUUUAAUUAAAACAAAUGGCUUUUAGUGUUUCUCAUUUAUUUUGCCCAGUUACUCAAAACACCUUCUUUUGAGGAUUUUUUUUUUUUGUGAUUUUUGCUUUACAGCAAUUACCUCUGAUUGCUUCAAACUGUUAGCAUUCAGAAAUAAAGCACGAUUAUCUCUUUCCAA